CCUGAGCCCACCAUCCAAUAAAUGGUGGAAGCCUGUACUCUCCUCAUCACACACCCAUGCUACCACAGGAUAUGGCUGUAAAAACAGGGCACUGUUUGAUGACAGACAAAACAGGCUGGAGGAGGACAGCAGUCCAUGGCCCUUCCUCAGGCAAACAUCCUGGACAGAUUUUGCUGCUUGGCUGGACAGAGGUCCAUAUGCAGACACAAAUAUAAAACAAAACAAAAAGGAAAGCUACUGUUCAUAGCAUUUUCCUGUUUAAGAGCAUUUUGACUACAGCCUAAUUGCUACCAGAAGUUUACUAAAGCCAUGAAAGAAAAAGUGCAAAGCUACUGGUUUCAUUUCUUUCAUCUGCUUGCUAACCACUGAGAAGAGUUUUAACAACUUAUAUGCCUCAUUUGAAGCUGUUAACAAAGUACUUAAAUCCCAGGGUUCGGGGGUAAAUCUCCAUGGAUUUCAGGCUGCUAAGGCAUGGGAAGAAGGAAAGGAGCAGCAAAUGAGGGAGAUCGCUUUUUAAGGAUGUGUCCCACCAAGUGUAAAUGUGCUUCCUGGAGUGUCCAGGGACCAGUAGCAAUACAUAAGGAACUUAUGGAAGCUUAUUUUGUAAAUUGAAGGAAAAUAACUCAGGCUAAGUUCUAACUCCUGUGUGAUAUCCAUGCUUUUGUGUCAGCCCUG
rnacentral:lncRNA from 1 species